rnacentral:rRNA from 1 species
UACGAAGGGGACUAGCGUUGUUCGGAAUCACUGGGCGUAAAGCGCACGUAGGCUGAUUUGUAAGUCAGGGGUGAAAUCCCGGGGCUCAACCUCGGAACUGCCUUUGAUACUGCGAAUCUUGAGUCCGAUAGAGGUGGGUGGAAUUCCUAGUGUAGAGGUGAAAUUCGUAGAUAUUAGGAAGAACACCAGUGGCGAAGGCGGCCCACUGGAUCGGUACUGACGCUGAGGUGCGAAAGCGUGGGGAGCAAACAGG